CCUGAGAGGGCGACCGGCCACACUGGGACUGAGACACGGCCCAGACUCCUACGGGAGGCAGCAGUGGGGAAUAUUGCACAAUGGGCGAAAGCCUGAUGCAGCGACGCCGCGUGAGGGAUGACGGCCUUCGGGUUGUAAACCUCUUUCAGCAGGGAAGAAGCGAAAGUGACGGUACCUGCAGAAGAAGCGCCGGCUAACUACGUGCCAGCAGCCGCGGUAAUACGUAGGGCGCAAGCGUUGUCCGGAAUUAUUGGGCGUAAAGAGCUCGUAGGCGGCUUGUCACGUCGGAUGUGAAAGCCCGGGGCUUAACCCCGGGUCUGCAUUCGAUACGGGCUAGCUAGAGUGUGGUAGGGGAGAUCGGAAUUCCUGGUGUAGCGGUGAAAUGCGCAGAUAUCAGGAGGAACACCGGUGGCGAAGGCGGAUCUCUGGGCCAUUACUGACGCUGAGGAGCGAAAGCGUGGGGAGCGAACAGGAUUAGAUACCCUGGUAGUCCACGCCGUAAACGUUGGGAACUAGGUGUUGGCGACAUUCCACGUCGUCGGUGCCGCAGCUAACGCAUUAAGUUCCCCGCCUGGGGAGUACGGA
rnacentral:rRNA from 1 species